rnacentral:rRNA from 1 species
UACGUAGGGUCCGAGCGUUGUCCGGAAUUACUGGGCGUAAAGAGCUCGUAGGUGGUUUGUCGCGUUGUUCGUGAAAACUCACAGCUCAACUGUGGGCGUGCGGGCGAUACGGGCAGACUAGAGUACUGCAGGGGAGACUGGAAUUCCUGGUGUAGCGGUGGAAUGCGCAGAUAUCAGGAGGAACACCGGUGGCGAAGGCGGGUCUCUGGGCAGUAACUGACGCUGGAGGAGCGAAAAGCGUGGGGGAGCGAACAGG